rnacentral:rRNA from 1 species
UACGGAGGGUGCAAGCGUUGUUCGGAUUUAUUGGGCGUAAAGCGCGUGUAGGCGGUCUCUUAAGUCUGAUGUGAAAGCCCCGGGCUCAACCCGGGAAGUGCAUUGGAUACUGGGAGACUUGAAUACGGGAGAGGGUAGUGGAAUUCCCAGUGUAGAGGUGAAAUUCGUAGAUAUUGGGAAGAACACCGGUGGCGAAGGCGGCUCACUGGCUCAUUUCUGACGCUCAGGCGCGACAGCGUGGGGAUCAAACAGG